rnacentral:rRNA from 1 species
GAUGAACGCUGGCGGCGUGCCUAACACAUGCAAGUCGAACGGUGAAGGCGGAGCUUGCUUUGCUGGAUCAGUGGCGAACGGGUGAGUAACACGCGAGCAAUCCGCCCCUGACUCUGGGAUAAGCGCUGGAAACGGCGUCUAAUAUUGGAUACGAGCUGUGAAACCAUCUUCAGCAGCUGGAAAGAACGGCGGUCCGGGAUGAGAUCGCGGCGUACCAGCUUGUUGGUGUGGUAAUGACACACGAAGGCGUCGACGGAUAGCCGGCCUGAGAGAGGUGACGGCCACACUGGGACUGAGACACGGCGCAGACUCGUACGGGAGGCAGCAGUGGGAAAUAUUACACAAUGAGGGAACGCCUGAUACAACGACGCCGCGUUCGGGAAGACGGCCCUCGAGUUAUAAACCUCUUUUAGCGGGAAAGAAGCGAUCGUGACGGUACCUACAGAGAAAGCGCCGGCUAACUACGUG